rnacentral:tRNA from 1 species
AAUAUAAAGAAUUAGUUAAUCAAUAACUUAAAUAUGUCAAAUUUAAAUUAUAUAUAUAUAAUAUAUAUUCUUUA